rnacentral:rRNA from 1 species
AGUGAACGCUGGCGGUAGGCCUAACACAUGCAAGUCGAACGGCAGCACAGUAAGAGCUUGCUCUUACGGGUGCCGAGUGGCGGACGGGUGCGGAAUACAUCGGUAUCUACUUUUUCGUGGGGGCUAACGUAGGGAAACUUACGCCAAUACCGCAUACGACCUACGGGUGAAAGCAGGGGAUCUUCGGACCUUGCGCGAUUGAAUGAGCCGAUGUCGGAUUAGCUAGUUGGCGGGGUAAAGGCCCACCAAGGCGACGAUCCGUAGCUGGUCUGAGAGGAUGAUCAGCCACACUGGAACUGAGACACGGUCCAGACUCCUACGGGAGGCAGCAGUGGGGAAUAUUGGACAAUGGGCGCAAGCCUGAUCCAGCCAUACCGCGUGUGUGAAGAAGGCCUUCGGAUUGUAAAGCCCUUUUGUUGGGGAAGAAGAGCAGCAAGUUAAUACCCCGCUGUUCUGACGGUACCCAAAGAAUAAGCACCGGCUAACUUCGUG